UAUGUAGGGUGCGAGCGUUGUCCGGAAUUACUGGGCGUAAAGAGCUCGUAGGUGGUUUGUCGCGUUGUCCGUGAAAACUCACAACUCAAUUGUGGGCGUGCGGGCGAUACGGGCAGACUGGAGUACUGCAGGGGAGACUGGAAUUCCUGGUGUAGCGGUGGAAUGCGCAGAUAUCAGGAGGAACACCGGUGGCGAAGGCGGUUCUCUGGGCAUGAUCUGACGCUGAGGAGCGAAAGUGUGGGGAGCGAACAGG
rnacentral:rRNA from 1 species